UAUCUCUGUAGAGUCUGCAUAUCAAUAAGCGGAGGAAAAGAAACUAACAAGGAUUCCCUUAGUAACGGCGAGUGAAGCGGGAAGAGCUCAAAUUUGAAAUCUUCAAGGUUCUACCUUGACGAAUUGUAGUUUAAAGAAGUGUUUUCUGUUAGAUGAGUAGCAAAAGUUCCUUGGAAUGGGACAUCAUAGAGGGUGAGAAUCCCGUAUUUGGUUAUUCAUUCUAGCUUUGUGAUACACUUUCAAAGAGUCGGAUUGUUUGGGAAUGCAGUCCAAAAUGGGUGGUAAAUUUCAUCUAAAGCUAAAUAUUGGCGAGAGACCGAUAGCGAACAAGUACCGUGAGGGAAAGAUGAAAAGAACUUUGAAAAGAGAGUUAAACAGUACGUGAAAUUGUCAAAAGGGAAGCGUUUGACACCAGUGUUGUUUUUCCGAAAAUCAAUUACGAAUGGCUUGAUUUUGUGUUGUAUUGACCUUAUCAGCUUUCUUCACUUUUUUCGAGUCUUUCUUAAUGCACUUUUCGGUUAACAAGUCAACAUCAAUUUCUUUUGUUGUAAAAGAGUAUUCGGAAGGUGGCUUUCUUUUCGGAGAAAGUGUUUAUAGCCCUAUACUUCUACAAUCGGAGAGAUUGAGGUCUGCAGCGUAGAUCCUUCGGGGUUAGAUACACUUUAUGCUAAGUUAUAGCUUUUCAUAGACAACUUGUUGACUAUGUUUAGUCAUUGUCGGCUUACUCGCUUGUGCUAUUUUACCUACGCUUAGGAUGUUGAAGACUCUACAGAGAU
rnacentral:rRNA from 1 species